CAAAAUUCUUGCAAACCAAGAAAUAAUUAAAGAACAGAUGGGAACAUUGAUUAAAUAGGUCUAUGACCUCAAAAAAUUAUCAACUACAGAAGACAGCCCAACAUUAAACAUAGACUGUUUUCCACUGUCAAGUUUUCAACAACUUCAAGUCAUGGAGGGGCAGCUGCAGCAGAAAGACUACAAAACAGCUGUGAUAAACACGUUAGCCUUGAGGGGAGGCACAACAGUAAAGGAAAGUGUAUGGCGGAUUCUGAGCUUCCUUCUAUCAAACGACAUGGCCCGGCAAAUGAACUGGAGGGGAAUCAAUGGAAAAGCGGCAUUCAAAGACACCUCUCUGAAAACUGUAAUUAAUGCUGCAGUCAGAAGAAACCGUUUGACUUCCACUGCAACAGACCAAGAAGUAGAAAACUGGAUCAAGAGAUGGCUGCAGCUUUCCACUGA